GGUCGUAUAGCCUAGUCGGUAGAGCGCAGUGCUAAUAAACGCUGUGGUCCUGGUUGAGCCCCAGUAUGACCA
rnacentral:tRNA from 1 species